rnacentral:rRNA from 1 species
AUUGAACGCUGGCGGCAUGCUUUACACAUGCAAGUCGAACGGUAACAGGCCGCAAGGUGCUGACGAGUGGCGAACGGGUGAGUAAUGCAUCGGAACGUGCCCGGUCGUGGGGGAUAACACUUCGAAAGAAGUGCUAAUACCGCAUACGAUCUGAGGAUGAAAGCGGGGGACCGUAAGGCCUCGCGCGAUCGGAGCGGCCGAUGUCAGAUUAGGUAGUUGGUGGGGUAAAGGCUCACCAAGCCAACGAUCUGUAGCUGGUCUGAGAGGACGACCAGCCACACUGGGACUGAGACACGGCCCAGACUCCUACGGGAGGCAGCAGGGGGGAAUUUUGGACAAUGGGCGCAAGCCUGAUCCAGCAAUGCCGCGUGCAGGAAGAAGGCCUUCGGGUUGUAAACUGCUUUUGUACGGAGCGAAAAGGCUCUCUUUAAUACAGGGGGCUCAUGACGGUACCGUAAGAAUAAGCACCGGCUAACUACGUGCCAGCCGCCGCCGUAACAC